rnacentral:lncRNA from 1 species
GCUUCUCGCUGGAGUGCGCACCGAGCGGCAGUGACUUCGCCGCUGCUGUAGUUCCCCGGCUGGAUGCGGUGACUGGUGCCAGUGCUCAGGCGCCCGCUGCCCUUGACCUCCCGCCCCGCGAGCCCUAACUCAGCGCAGGAGGACCGGCUGCCGCCGCCGCCGCCGCCAGGAGGUAGAUUGGGAAGUGGAGCUGGCCGUGGUCAUUGGAAAGAAAGGCAAGCACAUCAAGGUGAAGUGGAAAAGAUCCACACAACUUAAAGAUCUGCUGUCGAGUGAAUGGGGAAGUGGUCCAGAGCAGCAACACCAACCAGAUGGUAUUCAAGACAGAGGACCUGAUAGCCUGGGUGUCCCAGUGAGUGACAGGGGCUAUCCUGCCAGCCCCGCUCCACCUGCCACACAUGUGGAGGCUGACCUGAGCCCUCCACCUUUGGCUGUGGCCACCUCAGCCAGCCCCUGGUCUCACCGGGUCCUUUUGCUUUGCUCCAGGUCUCUGAAGGUCCAGACAGCACUGAUGGCGAGCUUUGGGUCCGCACACUCUGGAAAGAAGAGAGAAGUGAAGGCUCUAGGUAGGGAGAACAGAGAGCCACUGGGCACAGGCUUCUCUCCUCUUGUUUAAAGAAGCCCAGGGAGGGAUAGAGCUCUGACUGGACAGAAGACUGUACUCUGCAGCCUGCCUUCCUAGAGUUGGGUUGUCACUGUCCUGCAGGGGGCAGCAGCCACCAGCAAACACCACUGCCUGCAGGAGCCUGGGCUGACUGGUUGGGACUCACCGAAGAUCCCUUCUUCCUGGGCGGUGGCCUGCAGGAACUGGAACAGCUGCUCUGUGUAGCCCAACUCUGCAGAAGAGAGAAGACCUAGACCUGGCACCCAGCACAGACACAGCCUGCCUCGAGGACUGCAAGGGAACAAGGGCCUCACCAGUAUCGGGCAGCUGGCCCUGGCGGAGGAAGGCGGCAGCCUGUGCAAAGGCCUUGAGCAGCGGGCUGAGCAGGCGGCAGAGGAAAAGAAAGAAAUCUGGGCAGUGUGACUGCUGGCUGAGCUGGAGGGGACAGGCCGGGGUGAGUGCAGCUCCCCACCGCCUCCCUACCACCUCCCUCCAGGGGCAGCUUUUUGAAACACACCCUGAAGUACCGGCCGUCAGCCUCUCCGAAGUCAUCACUGUCACUAUCAGUAAAGUCCCCACUCGGUUUCCACA